UGUCAAGUAAUAUUAUGCUCCGGCAACAAGCAUUCAUAUUUCUUGUAAAGUUAUUAGUAUUCUUAGAAUAUCUUCAGAUUCUAUGAAAUGUUCAGCACGUCUCUCUUCAGGAUAAUGGACAGUCCAGUGGGCAUCAUCUAUGUAGCCAAGUGAUCAUAGGGUCCAGGGGGCAGCAAUAGAAGGAACAGGGAAGCCGCGGAGUAGUCGUUACUACGCUAGUACGCGGGCGACACGGCGUUUAAAAUUAGUAGCCCGGGGCUAGUAGAAGCGUCUGCUCCGACGUCCGAAGGAGGCCGGUUGAAGGCACAGCGGAUGGAGUAUUCGUCGGCAGACCUGUCGUGGUGGUGCGGCGCCGUGUCGACUAAGGAUGCAAGCCAGAUGGCGAAAGAGGUAUUGUAGUUGUAGUAAUUUACAGACAGUUACCAGGCAAUGUGUUAAACUAAAUCCACACAGAUUAUCCCAUCCCAAUUAGUGAUGUCUCGUUCUCUCUUUUGGAGAACCAGGGCUAUGUCUGUAACUCCAAUGUUAUGUAACUAGUUACUUUGACACGAUAUACGUCCCAGCAGUUUAAACAUUAUUUAACAGGUUUUCUGUUGUGUUUCAGGCUGUGGCUCCAAGGUUCUCUGGCCGUUGGUUGGAGUGCUGCUGGCCCUGGCUGUGGCUUUGAUCUCCACACAGUACUACUUCAGCAGACUACCCAAAAAGUGUCGACAUCAGUUUGCCAAGAAAGGACCAUUGGAGUAAUUCAGAGCGCCCACACUGCAGACGCAGAGACAGUGCUGUAUUUACUGUAUGUGUCCUUACAGGGAUCUCCUUCCACUUUAUGAAUCUGAAGACUGUUUUAUCAUCAUCUUACUUUUCUAUUCUUUGUUCAUUACAACGAUGAACCAACCUGAAGUUCCAACUGUCUAAAAGAAAACAUUUAGGAUUCUGUUCACAAUGUUAACGUCUCUGGCUAUGGAUUUGUAAUUAAGGGGAUGUAUCAUAUAUAAAACCUUUAUAUUGAAGCAGUAUUACUCUGGUAUGUGCUAGUAUUACACCAAUGCUAUGCAUUCUGCUGCGGUAGCCUAAUGUUAUGAUUAUUGGAUUUAUGCAUCAUGUAUUGAUGAUAAAUA